GUUCUUUUGUUUAUAUAAAAGAUUUGACCUGCCCAAUGAUAUUCUUUAAUGGCUGCAGUAUUUUGACUGUACAAAGGUAGCGUAAUCAUUUGUCUUUUAAUUUGAGUCUAGAAUGAAUGGUUUGAUGAAAAAUAUACUUUCUUUUUUUUAAAUAUUAAAUUUAAUUUUUGAGUUAAAAAGCUUAAAUAUAAUUAAAGGACGAGAAGACCCUAUAGAACUUUAUUCUUAUAAUUAUAUAUUAAAUAUGGUAUAUAUUUAUUUUAUAUAGAAGUGGGAUUUUAUUGGGGUGAUAGAAAAAAACUAAUAACUUUUUUUAUUUUAAUCACAUAUAUGUGAUAUUUUGAUCCUUUUUUAUGGAAAUAAGAUUAAGUUACCUUAGGGAUAACAGCGUUAUUAUUUUAGAGAGUUCUUAUCGAUAAAAUAGUUUGCGACCUCGAUGUUGGAUUAUAAUAAGAUAUAGGAGUAGAAUAUUAUAUUCUAGGUCUG
rnacentral:rRNA from 1 species